GCGAGUUACGAUUUGAUGCAAGGUUAAGCAGUAAAUGUGGAGCCGUAGCGAAAGCGAGUCUGAAUAGGGCGUUUAGUAUUUGGUCGUAGACCCGAAACCAGGUGAUCUACCCUUGGUCAGGUUGAAGUUCAGGUAACACUGAAUGGAGGACCGAACCGACUUACGUUGAAAAGUGAGCGGAUGAACUGAGGGUAGCGGAGAAAUUCCAAUCGAACCUGGAGAUAGCUGGUUCUCUCCGAAAUAGCUUUAGGGCUAGCCUCAAGUGAUGAUUAUUGGAGGUAGAGCACUGUUUGGACGAGGGGCCCCUCUCGGGUUACCGAAUUCAGACAAACUCCGAAUGCCAAUUAAUUUAACUUGGGAGUCAGAACAUGGGUGAUAAGGUCCGUGUUCGAAAGGGAAACAGCCCAGACCACCAGCUAAGGUCCCAAAAUAUAUGUUAAGUGGAAAAGGAUGUGGCGUUGCCCAGACAACUAGGAUGUUGGCUUAGAAGCAGCCAUCAUUUAAAGAGUGCGUAAUAGCUCACUAGUCGAGUGACACUGCGCCGAAAAUGUACCGGGGCUAAACAUAUUACCGAAGCUGUGGAUUGUCCUUUGGACAAUGGUAGGAGAGCGUUCUAAGG
rnacentral:rRNA from 1 species